UCUCACUGCGGCGCACAACCAUGCUGGA
rnacentral:piRNA from 1 species